rnacentral:rRNA from 1 species
GACGAACACUGGCGGCGUGCCUAAUACAUGCAAGUAGAACGCACAGUUUAUACCGUAGCUUGCUACACCAUAGACUGUGAGUUGCGAACGGGUGAGUAACGCGUAGGUAACCUGCCUGGUAGCGGGGGAUAACUAUUGGAAACGAUAGCUAAUACCGCAUAAUAUUGAUUAUUGCAUGAUAAUUGAUUGAAAGAUGCUAUUGCAUCACUACCAGAUGGACCUGCGUUGUAUUAGCUAGUAGGUGAGGUAACGGCUCACCUAGGCGACGAUACAUAGCCGACCUGAGAGGGUGAUCGGCCACACUGGGACUGAGACACGGCCCAGACUCCUACGGGAGGCAGCAGUAGGGAAUCUUCGGCAAUGGACGAAAGUCUGACCGAGCAACGCCGCGUGAGUGAAGAAGGUUUUCGGAUCGUAAAGCUCUGUUGUAAGAGAAGAACGGGUGUGAGAGUGGAAAGUUCACACUGUGACGGUAUCUUACCAGAAAGGGACGGCUAACUACGU